rnacentral:rRNA from 1 species
UCGAGAAUCUUCGGCAAUGGGCGCAAGCCUGACCGAGCGACGCCGCGUGCGGGAUGAAGGCCUUCGGGUUGUAAACCGCUGUCAGUGGGGAGGAAAUGCCGGGGGGUUCACCCCUCGGUUUGACCUAUCCGCAGAGGAAGGACGGGCUAAGUUCGUGCCAGCAGCCGCGGUAAGACGAACCGUCCAAACGUUAUUCGGAAUCACUGGGCUUAAAGGGUGCGUAGGCGGCCUGGCAAGUCGGGUGUGAAAGCCCUCGGCUCAACCGAGGAAUUGCGCCCGAAACUGCCGGGCUCGAGGAAGGUAGAGGUGAGCGGAACUUAGGGUGGAGCGGUGAAAUGCGUUGAUAUCCUAAGGAACACCAGUAGCGAAAGCGGCUCACUGGGCCUUUUCUGACGCUGAGGCACGAAAGCUAGGGGAGCGAACGG